AUGCCGUGAUGAGGAUACUUUUUCAACAGUUCCUUGAACCUCUCCCAAGAGUCAUAUAAAGAUUCCCCCUCAAGCUGGUAAAAAUUAUUAAUCCCCCCCCCCCCCCU